rnacentral:misc_RNA from 1 species
UUUCCGUAGGUGAACCUGCUGAAGGAUCAUUAACAAUAAGUGUUCUACGGCACUUUUUCAACAAUCUAUAUCCACUUAGUGUGCAAAGUUAUGAGAACCUCUAUCGUUAUCGUGUGGGAUACGGAAGGGGGAACCUCUACAACUUACCAACAUCACCUUUAACUUAUUUGUCUGAACAUUUGUUAUCACGAAUUAACUUAAUUCGAAAAUACAACUUUCAACAACGGAUCUCUUGGCUCUC